rfam:[Clostridium] celerecrescens strain 152B c14, whole genome shotgun sequence.
UGAUAGCUGUGAAACGUGAGGUUGCUGCUUAUAAAAGCAGGUUUUCCGUGGAGCGAAUGUCAAGUUAGGAAACUGGCGACAA